AGAGCGCUGCAAAGGUUGUAAAAACUGAUAAAAACUGAAGUGAAGCGGGGAGGUGACUGGGAGGGUGGCGGGAGCAGUGAGUGAGAACCGGGGCGUUGAGUUGGGUGCUGCGCUGAGUCUCUCUCUAUUCUCCUCAUUUAUCGAAUACAACAAAAGGGAAAAAAGCCUAAAUAAACUCCAGGAGACAUGAGUACAUAAGAAAAAAAAAAGAAA